rnacentral:rRNA from 1 species
UUUGACAUGCAAGUGGUAGGAACCGAAGGUGACCGACCUUCGGGGAGCUUGCACAGGUUGCUGCAUGGCUGUCGUCAGCUCGUGUCGUGAGAUGUUCGGUUAAGUCCGCUAACGAGCGCAACCCUCGCUGUGUGUUAUAUGUGUCACACGGGACUGCCGGUCUUAAGCCGGAGGAAGGUGGGGAUGAUGUCAAGUCAGCAUGGCCUUUAUAUCCUGGGCUACACACACGCUACAAUGGCCAGCACAGUAGGUUGCUAAGCCGCGAGGCGGAGCCAAUCCUAAAAGCAGGCCUCAGUUCAGAUUGCAGUCUGCAACCCGACUGCAUGAAGCCGGAGUUGCUAGUAACCGCAGGUCAGCAAUACUGCGGUGAAUACGUUCCCGGGUCUU